CUAUAUUUUCUGCAUCUGCCAUUUAUAUUUACUGCAUUACCCAUUCAUAUACGACAUAUCCCAUUCUGACUUAUUUGCAUAUGUUUGGCUUCCUGUACUCAGCUUCAUGUCAAUACUGCAUUAUGCAACACAGUCUCUCUUCUACAGAGGACUCCUGUGCCAAUUCUAAACCUGAGCAUGAACAAACUGACAAAGUGAUUCUUCAUGUUUGGGCUAAUUUAGUGAUUUUGUAAUUCAUUGCUUUCUUGCACUGGUUAGCUGAAGAAGGUGUUUUGCCUCACAAGUGUGUUUUAAAACAGCUUGGAAGACAACUUGUUUUGAUUGCCUACACAAGAAAUAGACAAUUGUAUUGCUUUUAAGAAAUAAAGACUUGCUAUGAACUAUUUGGUUUUAUUAUGUAUAAUUAAUGAAUUAUGGAUAUUCUGUGCCAUUUAGAUGUUACCUUAUUGCAUAAUGCAGCUAUUUUGCAGCUAUUUCAUAGCGUACAUUUGACAAGAAAUGUAUUAAAAAUAGUCUUUUUAAAUGCAUCCUGAGUGGUUCACUCUGCAAACUGCACAUUUGUCACCCCCCAUUUCUAUUAGCAAGAGUAAUGCCAUCAUGACACCAUCAUAAGAUAUGUUAUUUCCUUCCUAUCGCCUUUCAUCCAAUAAAGUUGUUACAACCCCUA